GCACCUACGGGACGCAGCAGUGAGGAAUAUUGGUCAAUGGCCGGAAGGCUGAACCAGCCAAGCCGCGUGAAGGACGAAGGGGCCAAGCAUUGUAAACUUCUUUUGUCAAGGGACAAAAUCAGGCUCGAGAGCCUGACCGAGGGUACUUGAAGAAAAAGCAUCGGCUAACUCCGUGCCAGCAGCCGCGGUAAUACGGAGGAUGCGAGCGUUAUCCGGAUUUAUUGGGGUUAAAGGGUGCGUAGGCGGACUGUUAUGUCAGCGCUAAAAGCCCGCGGCUCAACCCCGGCGAGCCGUUGAAACGGGCG
rnacentral:rRNA from 1 species